AAAUUGAAGAGUUUGAUCAUGGCUCAGAUUGAACGCUGGCGGCAGGCCUAACACAUGCAAGUCGAGCGGAAACGAGUUAUCUGAACCUUCGGGGAACGAUAACGGCGUCGAGCGGCGGACGGGUGAGUAAUGCCUAGGAAAUUGCCCUGAUGUGGGGGAUAACCAUUGGAAACGAUGGCUAAUACCGCAUGAUGCCUACGGGCCAAAGAGGGGGACCUUCGGGCCUCUCGCGUCAGGAUAUGCCUAGGUGGGAUUAGCUAGUUGGUGAGGUAAGGGCUCACCAAGGCGACGAUCCCUAGCUGGUCUGAGAGGAUGAUCAGCCACACUGGAACUGAGACACGGUCCAGACUCCUACGGGAGGCAGCAGUGGGGAAUAUUGCACAAUGGGCGCAAGCCUGAUGCAGCCAUGCCGCGUGUGUGAAGAAGGCCUUCGGGUUGUAAAGCACUUUCAGUCGUGAGGAAGGUAGUGUAGUUAAUAGCUGCAUUAUUUGACGUUAGCGACAGAAGAAGCACCGGCUAACUCCGUGCCAGCAGCCGCGGUAAUACGGAGGGUGCGAGCGUUAAUCGGAAUUACUGGGCGUAAAGCGCAUGCA
rnacentral:rRNA from 1 species